rnacentral:rRNA from 1 species
UUUUAAAUAAGUAAGAGUAUAUGGUGGAUGCCUUGGGUCUGGAAGUCGAUGAAGGACGUGAAUACCUGCGAUAAGCCUCGUGGAGCUGGAUUGCGCUGUGAUACGGGGAUUUCCGAAUGGGGGAACCUAACUAGAUAAACUCUAGUUGAUUUAUAAUGAAUCCAUAGUUAUAAAUGCGAGACACGUUGUGAACUGAAACAUCUUAGUAGCAACAGGAAAAGAAAAUAAAUAAUGAUUUCGUUAGUAGUGGCGAGCGAAUGCGAAAGAGCCCAAACCAUCAAUUAGAUGGGGUUGUAGGACAUUCUAUAUAGAGUUACAAAAAUUUAUUAUAGUUGAAAAAGUUGGGAAGCUUUGACAAAGAGGGUGAUAUCCCCGUAAACGAAAUAAUAGAUUCUCUUGAGUGUAUCCUGAGUAGGGCGGGGCACGUGAAACCCUGUCUGAAUCUGCCGGGACCACCCGGUAAGGCUAAAUACUAACCAGACACCGAUAGUGAAACAGUACCGUGAGGGAAAGGUGAAAAGAACCCCGGGAGGGGAGUGAAAUAGAUUCUGAAACCGUAUACUUACAAUUAGUCAGAGCCCGUUAAUGGGUGAUGGCGUACAUCUUGCAGUAUGGGCCGGCGAGUUAUGUUAACAUGCGAGGUUAAGUGGAAAAAAACGGAGCCGUAGGGAAACCGAGUCUUAAUAGGGCGCUUUAGUAUGUUGAUAUAUACCCGAAACCAGGUGAUCUAUCCAUGAGCAGACUGAAGCUUAGGUAAAACUAAGUGGAGGGUCGAACCGUAGUACGCUAAAAAGUGCCCGGAUGACUUGUGGAUAGCGGUGAAAUUCCAAUCGAACCUGGAGAUAGCUGGUUCUCCUCGAAAUAGCUUUAGGGCUAGCGUGUAGUGUUAAGCAUUGGGGGUAGAGCACUGAAUAUGGAAUGGCGGCGCCUAGCUGUACUGACUAUAAUCAAACUCCGAAUACCAGUGUGUAUUACUAUGCAGUCGGAACAUGGGUGAUAACGUCCGUGGUCGCGAGGGAAACAACCCAGAUCGUCAGCUAAGGUCCCAAAAUUAUGUUAAGUGAGAAAGGUUGUGAGGUUUCCUAAACAACUAGGAUGUUGGCUUAGAAGCAGCCAUCAUUUAAAGAGUGCGUAAUUGCUCACUAGUCAAGAGAUCUUGCGCCAAUAAUGUAACGGGACUAAACAUAAUACCGAAGCUACGGGUACGAAAGUACGUUAGAGGAGCGUUCUAAGUGGCGGUGAAGCUAAACCGCGAGGAUUAGUGGAGUACUUAGAAGUGAGAAUGCCGGCAUGAGUAACGAUUCGGAGUGAGAAUCUCCGACGCCUAUUGGGAAAGGUUUCCUGGGGAAGGUUCGUCCACCCAGGGUUAGUCAGGACCUAAGAUGAGGCAGACAUGCAUAGUCGAUGGAUAAUAGGUUAAUAUUCCUAUACUUCCUAUAAAAGUGAUGGAGUGACGGAGAAGGAUAAUACUACCACUUAUUGGAUUGUGGGGUAAGCAACAAGAAGGAUAGUUUGGCAAAUCCGGCUAUCAUAACUUUGAGUUGUGAUGCAUAGUGAAAGAGCAAUCAAGUAGCGAAUUGUAUGAUUUCAUGCUUCCAAGAAAAGCUUCUAACGCUAAUUUUAUAGGAACCUGUACCGAGAACGGACACACGUUCCCAAGAUGAGUAUUCUAAGGCGAGCGAGAAAACCAAUGUUAAGGAACUCUGCAAAAUUAUCCCGUAAGUUCGCAAGAAGGGAUGCCUACUUUAAGUAGGCCACAGUAAAAUGGGGGGGGUGACUGUUUAUCAAAAACACAGCUCUCUGCUAAGUCGCAAGACGAUGUAUAGGGGGUGACGCCUGCCCAGUGCCCGAAGGUUAAGUGGAGCUGUAAGCAUUAGCGAAGCAGUAAAAUGAAGCCCGGGUGAACGGCGGCCGUAACUAUAACGGUCCUAAGGUAGCGAAAUUCCUUGUCAACUAAUUAUUGACCUGCACGAAAGGCGUAACAAUCUCCCCACUGUCUCAACAUUGGACUCGGUGAAAUUAUGGUCCCAGUGAAAACGCUGGGUACCCGCAUCAAGACGAAAAGACCCCGUGGAGCUUUACUAUAGCUUCGUAUUGAAAAUUGGUCUAACAUGUGUAGGAUAGGUGGGAGACUUUGAAGUAAGGACGCCAGUUCUUAUGGAGUCAACCUUGAAAUACCACCCUUGUUAUAUUGAUUUUCUAACUUGCUUCCAUUAUCUGGAAGGAGGACAGUGCGUGGUAGGUAGUUUGACUGGGGCGGUCGCCUCCUAAAAGGUAACGGAGGCGUUCAAAGUUACACUCAGUAUGGUCAGAAACCAUAUGAAGAGCGCAAAGGUAGAAGUGUGAUUGACUGUGAGACCUACAAGUCGAGCAGGUGCGAAAGCAGGACUUAGUGAUCCGGCGGUACAUUGUGGAAUGGCCGUCGCUCAACGGAUAAAAGCUACCCCGGGGAUAACAGGCUUAUCUUCCCCAAGAGAUCACAUCGACGGGAAGGUUUGGCACCUCGAUGUCGGCUCAUCGCAUCCUGGAGCUGGAGUCGGUUCCAAGGGUUUGGCUGUUCGCCAAUUAAAGCGGUACGCGAGCUGGGUUCAGAACGUCGUGAGACAGUUCGGUCCCUAUCUGAUGUGGGCGUUGGAAUAUUGAUGAGAGCUGCUCUUAGUACGAGAGGACCGGAGUGGACGUACCACUGGUGCUCCAGUUGUUUCGCCAGAAGCACAGCUGGGUAGCUAAGUACGGAAAGGAUAACCGCUGAAGGCAUCUAAGCGGGAAGCCUCCUCAGAGAUUAAUGUUCCCUUGAAAUUCCUUAUAGACGAUGAGGUUGAUAGGUUGGAAGUGUAAGUGUAGUAAUACAUUCAGCUGACCAAUACUAAUAAAUUGAUUGAUUUAAUAGC